rnacentral:lncRNA from 1 species
AAAAUGACUGUGUUUAACCUAUUGUAGUUGUAAUUACAUAUCUCUGUGGUUACAGCAGUAGAAAAGGAGUUCGAGAUAGGAGUGAAUACUGUGACCUGGGGUUAUCAUUUCAUCUUUACAAUAUGCUUAGCACUAUGUAAGAAAUUGGAAAUACAAGAAGACAGAGUUCUUAUUCUCAAGAAACUCAGAAUCUCCUGAACCAAGAUUGAAGUUGGGAAAAGCAAUCACUGUCAGAAAGCAAACCCUCUUGUGCCUGGUGCUCAGCUGGAAGAUUGUUCUGGACUCUGGGUUUAGUGAAUAAUAAACUUCCAAACUUCCUUCCUUCACAACAACUGACCAUGACUAACUCUUUGUGAAAGAACUCUGAACACUAUAAGGUACUGUAGUAAUGUUAAGUAAACUUUGCCAUAGGAAGAAAAAGGAAAAGGAAUAGAAAUAAAAUGGUAGAAAUAAAAAGGAGAAAAAAGGCAUAAAUAGAGAAAAGUUUAAUUAUGUAGUGAUAAUUAUGGGAGAGACAAAAUAUAAGGUAAGUUU